UUAUUAAAGGUGAAACUUUGGUCAUUUUAAAUAACAACCAAACAAACCCAUUGUUUCUGAAAAUCUGUGUUUUGGCUGGCUUAGUUUUCACUUUUUUUUCAUGUUUGUCACACUCCAUCUGGUUUUGUGUACUCAGUGUCUUUUCUUCUCUGCCAAGUUGUUUUUUUCCAAUGUACAUACAUCACUCUACAUCUUCAAAGUAUUUUACAUAUGCUACAUGCUGGAUUUCCCCAAUGCUUUCAAACGAGCUUUAAAUGAGCUUUGAAAUGAGCUCUUCGUGUUUUUCUCAUGAGCUUCUAAAAUCCUUACUACGUGGCUCUUCUUUUAUUUGACUCCAAAGAAAACAAAUUUCAUUUACACACUGAAAGUGGCAAAUCCUCAUCGUGUUUUUAUUGUCCCAGAGUAUUCAAUAUUGGUUUAGCACAUACUUGGUGUCAAGCAGUGUGCAGUGGAUCCUGUUACCUAGACACUGGGGUGAUGACUUUGAGGUACCCGUAUCUCAGGGGAGAGGACACAUGUGUGCCUUUUGAUGAACAGUUGUGCUAAGUACAAGGUUCCCAGAACAAUGAGAGUGAGAAUGUAGAAAGCAGUGAUGAGGGCAGCAUUAGGAACUUCCUAAAAGCCCUUUCCACAACCAACUCAGUAAAUACCACCGACUGGGAAACAACAAAUUGUUACUGAGUUUGAGUGAAAAGCUACAAAUGAUUUUCAACUGCUUGGCUUGGGAAAUCACCAUCUGGUCUUUACCUCUAUGGAUCUGACUUGCUUUAGACUACAGGAAGAAUCAGAAGACGGGGCAGAAGAGCGGUCUGGGCUGUGCUUACACAGAUGAAGCAGAAGCAGCCCUUUCUGAGGAGUCUGGUCUCCGGAAUGGUGUCUCCACCACGCAGAUCCUUCCCCUGUCCCCCAGUGCUAAUCGCCAUUCCAUCUCAGGAAAGUGUCUGUGAUGAUGUUUGUGCAGACAUGCACAAGAGGCUUCUGCAGGACCAUGAGAGCAUGCUUUCAUCUCUGUGAAGUGUCUGCUGUGAUGUUCCCGUAGGCAUGCCCUAGAGGUUUUUGCAGGAUCGUGAGAAUUUCAGAUCUCAUUAACCCCCACCAUGAUUUCUGUAACCAGACUCAGACUAAAGGCUUGGAAGCAUGUCCCUUAGCUUUUGCCAGCAGGUGACAAGUCCUGUCCAUUUUCCAAAAAACACAGUCUGCUUAAAGUUGGUCUUGGUGAAAAAGACUGUAGCUAAAUUAGGUGAGAUGUUCUCUUGUCUCCUAAGAUCUUUUCAGUGUGCUUUAACUCCUUGAAAUAUGCAGGAGGAUCUGGUAUGAUUCAGAAUGGUCCUUACAGUUAUGUUUUUGUGGUCCAGGGGUAAUUAUAGUCACAGAUGGGUGAAAGAGCAGCACAGCACAUUCUUGUCUUCCCUUGGUUCUCCAAAGGAGUACCAAGAAGGAUUGCUGUAGCAAAAGCUGUCUGAAUUUCUUCAAAUGGAGCAUACAUGAGUGUUUCCAACUUAACCCAAACUAUUGCUCAUCUCCUCCUGGGUUUCCUGUUCCUUUGGAUUCAUAAUGAUAAACAGGAUUCAUUAACAAUACUAAGGUAACCGUGUACUUAAGAAAGUAAAUGAAAGAAGCUAUAUUUCUUUUUCUCCUACUUAUGCACUCUGGAAAAUUCUGGAAAAGCAUAUUAUUUGGGAUGUGGUUAAAUGGGGGGGGGGAAGAAUGCUUCAUUUGUAUGUCAGUGAUUAGUUUUGAAAAGUAGCUUGUCAAAACAGUUGUGGUUUUUACCCCCACAAGAGACAGAAUUACUUUUAGGUAACAAAGUAUAUUCCCCAUUAAAAUAUAAGAAACACUUUCCAUCAAUUUCUGGUUGAUAAUCUCUAUUGCUUUUUCGUAACUUCCACAUAUAAUCUUCAAUAAGAGUGGUUGUAUAUAUAGCUACCAUAUUUUAAAAUCUACCUUUGAAUUGCAUCUUAAUUUAUUUAUUGUAUUUGUUUGUGUAUGUACAUGUGUAUGCAUGCAUGUCACAGUGUGCAUGGGGAGGUCAAAGGACAGCCCACAAAAGUAGGCUCUCUCCUUCUACCAUGUAGGUCUAAGAAAUUGUACUUAGUGCCUCUACCAUCUGAGCAAUCUCACCAGUCUCAUGAUAUUUCUUUAAAUGAAACACUUAGAAACAUAUUUCUAAAUAUAAAGAAACAUUACUACAAAAAUCAAUGAAUUAUAAAUGUUGGAUUAGUGAGAAAAUAUUACAUAUUCAAAGAAAAUGUUUUAUUAAAGCUUAAGAUUUAUUGAAGACAUUUGUAUUUCUGAUUCCUAUAAUGUAAGAGGUAUGUAUUACAUUUCACAGAUUACAAUCCAGAAUACUAAAACAAAGAGGGGCUUAAUAACUCUGAAAAGGUCACUGGUGAGUUCUUCAUAUCUUGGAAACUGACACAAGUCCUUCGGCGUUCUUCACAGUAUUGUAUUCAUUAGAUAAUGUGAGGUUAAUUUUGAGAUGGAUGAAUCUUGGAACAAAAUCAUGUUUAUAGAAACAAUUAAUAGACUUGACCUUAAAUGUUUAGAGAACAAGAAAAUAGCUUUCUGUUAGCCAAAUGUGGUGCUGACUAGAUGGGUGUGCUACUGAUUUUACCAGCAGGCGAAUCCUAAAAUACGUCAUAGCCUUCCUGGAACACAGGCUUCUGCCUAUGUUAAUUACAAGUUUAGGUGGCAGGAGGUUUUCUGGAAUGAGAGAAGGGGGGGGGGGCCUUAACAUCUAGCCUGUAGGUUGAACUACUUGACCUGGCCUCAUACAGAAAUAGGGGCAUGGGGUAGCUAACCACAGGUAUAGCUGGUAGACCCAAAUAUACAUAUGUGGACAGCUGUGAUGAGCACUGCAGAUAUGUGUGGCCUUCACAGUCACCCGUAAAUGAUAAAAGAAACCAAAAAAGGAAUCGAGAGGACACAGAGUUAUGCAAUGGGUGUUUUUGACUGUGAGGAACAAUGUCCCUUUGGAAAAUCUUGAAUCUAACCUCCAGUGCUGCUGCUGAAGAUAAGAGAGGAAACACAACUCCCAGGAGUUAGAAAAUGCAGAUUAUUCAGCCAGCUGUACUGAUGUCAGUGUAAUUGAGUUGGCAAUUCAUCAAUCAUAUAAAAUAAAGUGUGCUAGCUAUGUUCAAAUAGAUUGCACCUGUGUCCUAUGUUGGAGCAUCUUCACUGAGAUGAUUGUAACCAUACUGACUUUUUGUUGUGUGAGAACAUAACUGAAUCACAAAAUAGUGCAAUAGGAAAUUAGAAAUGUGAUCAAAGUUCAUUAAUAUGUCAUAAAAUUAUCUUUCUUGUGAAGUUUGAUGGAGCAUUCUGUUCUUUUCCAGAAUCUGUUUCAACCAAGCUUCCCUUAGCAGUUUUGAAAACACAAAGAGAGCAAGCUGAACUGCUGUAUUUUUUCCAACUCUAUUCCCACAGGUGAAUUUAAGUUAGUGCUACACCAUCCAAACUAUUAAAGAAUUGGCAGCUGUGAUAUUGCAGUUGGGGACUCUUUCCAAAAAUUCUAAGAACAAGUAACACAGCAACUUAAAAAAAAUGCAGACUGUUUUCUUCGUAUUUCAGAGUUGUGUGUAUGUGUAAUCCUUUCUUCCUUUCUUUUAUUUUUUAAGUUGAGUUCCAGACAGGUUAUUUGAUUUAUUCAAGGACACACAAUUAGUUUGUGGAGUAAACAGACCCCAAACCCCAUUCUUUUGGCUCAUACUAGAUGGGCCCCAUGAAGUUGCUGUAUCACUUUGUGAUAUGCUUAGUUGUUAUCGUAAUCCUUUCCUCUGUAACUGUGACAAAGUUCACCUCAAAGUUCCCAGCUGAAAGUAGAAAAAGAUGAUGGGCUGUGGAGACACUGGGCUUGAAAAGUCAUCUGGCUCAAGCAGAAAACUGGACUGAAAAGACGGUCUUGGAAAACUUGCGCUCUGUGAUGGUGAUUUUGUCUUGUAGCUGUGAGUAAGACUCCCUCACUUAUUAGAAUUUAUUUUCUCCUUCAGGAAAUUAGAGCACUCCUUGCCCACAUUAAUGAAUGCCAGGAAGCCUGAAAGGCAGUAAUUUGGGGGAAAUGGUUUUAUGGGUUAUAAAGCACCAUGUGUUUAGACCAUUAUUAUUGACUGCCACCCAACUUUCUGAUAACUGGAUUGAGUGGAGCACCAACACAGAUAGAUGUUUAGCAGGAAGCUGUUGAUUAGAAGCAGCCAACUUGACAAAAGUAUCCUCCUGCACAGGAGUCUUGAGAAUCACAAAACAAACACAAAGAGGGCAAGACCAUGACGUACCCAGAUCUCCUUACACGAGGAGGAGACCUUCACUUGUGUGCUCUAAGGGAAGUUAUAGGGGUAAAUAUUGUCAACCUCAUGUCCAUCAGCUACCAAAAUCAAUAAGGCUGUGACAAUGAUCUUCAUUACCAGAGAAGGAUUUUCAAUGGUACAUCUUACCAAAAGCUCUUGUGUGAAUCUCAGGCUAUAACAUAUAAGAAACAUUUUUACAAUGUAAUAUUUAAAUAAUUGCUUUUCAAAUUGCCUAUAAUAUAUACAAAAUUAAAAUAUUAAAUUAUUUGGAGAGGAUGAUAAUGUAUAUUUAUUAGUGUAGCUGAAGUUCUUUUCUCUUUCCUGAUAUAACUUUCCAUAUCGUGAAGCUUAUUUGAAAUCUGAAAUGGGGUUUGGAAUUAGCUCAUCUAUAGCAGAUGAAAUAAUCUAUGGAAGAACUAGCACACUAAUUAUUGAAAAGAAUGGGCAGGGAUCUAUGGCACAAGGGAGAUGAGGAAGAAAGAGGAAGGGAGGAAGAAGGGGAGAGAAGGGCUGGGAGGAGGGGCAAGCUUGGGAUAAGGUAUUCCAUAUUUCUUCCUUUGUUCCGACUUAUGUUGAUAAUAUUCAGCAUACGCCUAUGCUGUGUGUCUUUUACUUCUUUGUAUCUAGUAGUAGAAUCUAACAUGUUUCAUGUAAUUAAAAUUCAAAGUUUCUUUGACCAAUUCACCUAAUUCCUUCCAUUUUGUUCUUUAGACAGAAGCCAAAAAUGUUUGGCAGAUGGAUCUAACCCUGCUUGCAUUUGUUAUUUAUAAAUGAUGUUUUAUUACAACCUGGCCUCAAAUGUUUC
ensembl:lncRNA